UGUUCUCCUUAAGAACUUUGGUUCCUACUUGCUUCUCUGACUAUUCCUACUUGAGACAAGAAGAAUGUAGCAUUUGAGUUCUUGCCUUGGACCAAAUCUGGGCACCAACCAGCUUGGCCGCUGCCCCAGCUGGGCUGGCUCCAGGCCCACCAGGAAGGGCACGUGGAUGGUCUCAUGCUUCCCCGCUUCCCUUUAAUGCUUUGUUAACAUUUGAAUUACAACACUCACUACAGAAACUACAGCAAGUUGUAAACAUGUCUCCCUCACCCCAAAGGCCAGGGCCAUACUUUAUUCAUCUCUGUUUUUUCCACAGCACCAAGCUCUGUGCAGUUGAACUGGGUAGGUGUUCAAUAGAUAUUCAUUGCAUCAAAUAGAUUAAUAUCACUUUAAUUUUUAUCACGCAUCUGGGCAUCUCUUUGAAACGUCAUGGAUGUAGAGAAUACAAAUGCCAGUUAAAGCAAGAGCUCUUGUGUUUCUGUUCCUGUGGAGUGCAGCUGAAAUGACCGCUACUGCUCCUUUACAGUAUAUUUACAUGAGCUUCCUGUGGACAUCAGCGCCAUUUAAAAUUAAGGGCCUUGUUCUAUCAUCCAGGCUGGACUGCAGUGGCGUGAUCUCAGCUCACUGCAACUUCUGCCUCCUGAGCUCAAGUGAUCCUUCCACCUCAGCCUCCCCAGUACCUGAGACUACAGGCACACACGACCAUGCCUGGCUAAUUUUUGUAUUUUUUGUAGAGAUGGGGUUUCAUCAUGUUGCCCAGGCUGGUCUCGAACUCCUAAGCUCAAGCAGUCUGCCCUGCCUCGGCCUCCCAAAGUGCUGGGAUUACAGGCUGGAACACAGAUGUGGGGCUGGAAGUGGAGCAGCCCCUUUUAGCCAUGAAGCCCAAAGCCACGUGCUAAGGAUGGUAAAGCAGGGGAUAGAAAGAGCCUGUGUCUUUGCUGACUUCCUUAAGCCACGGCACCAGCCUGGGCCUGCCCUACUCUGGACAUCUAAAUGUCAGGAGCUAAGAAUCAAGUCAGUCUAGAGGUGUUGGUUGCCAUGUGGAGAGAUCCUUCCCAAGAAGAAAGGUGCUGCAAAGUGUCCUGGAAAUCCUCUUUGCCCCUCCAGAUCCACUCUCCCUACCCUGCUCUGUGCCUCAGGAAGCUGCUUUUCAUGGUUCACAUCAACCAGGCUCCUGUACCCUCCAGAUGGGUCCAUCCUAUGGGAGGUACCAGCAGGAGACCAGAGAGAUGAAGGCGGGAAAGAAAGAAUUUUAGGGGUUGAACUGUAUCACCCCAAAAUUCAUAUGGUGAAGUAUAACCCCUUUGGAAUGUAACCUUAUUGGAAAUGUCAGAGGCAUGUGAACCAGAGCAACUCCAUCUUGAAUAGGGGCUGGGUAAAAUGAGGCUGAGACCUACUGGGCUGCAUUCCCAGACGGUUAAGGCAUUCCAAGUCACAGGAUCAGAUAGGAGGUUGGCACAAGAUACAGGUCACAAAGACCUUGCUGAUGAAACAGUUGCAGUAAAGAAGCCAGCCAAAGCCCACCAAAACCAAGAUGGCGACAAGAGUGACCUCUGGGCAUCCUCACUGCUACACUCCCAGCAGCGCCAUGGCAGUUUACAAAUGCCAUGGCAACAUCAGAAAGUUACCCUAUAUCAUCUAAACAGGGGAGGCAUGAAUAAUCCACCCUUGCUUAGCAUACACUCAAGAAAUAACCAUAAAAAUGGGCAACCAGCAGCCCUCGGGGCUGCUCUGUUUAUGGAGUAGGCAUUCUUUUAUUCCUGUACUUUCCUAAUAAACUUGCUUUCACUUUA